rnacentral:ncRNA from 1 species
UACAAAGAUAAAAACGCAACGUGUUUGAAUGUUUACACCAGAGCCGGUAGGUAGCCCGGCCGUCCUACACUGUAGGGUAAGUAACCUGCCCCUCCGGGUUGUCCAUUCUUUGUUCAUUU